rnacentral:rRNA from 1 species
GACGAACGCUGGCGGCGUGCUUAACACAUGCAAGUCGAACGAUGAAGCCGGAGCUUGCUCUGGUGAAUUAGUGGCGAACGGGUGAGUAACACGUGAGUAACCUGCCCUUGACUCUGGGAUAACUGCUAGAAAUGGUAGCUAAUACCGGAUACGACCCUCGGAGGCAUCUCCAGGGGGUGGAAAGAAUUUCGGUCAAGGAUGGACUCGCGGCCUAUCAGGUAGUUGGUGAGGUAACGGCACACCAAGGCGACGACGGGUAGCCGGCCGGAGAGGGUGACCGGCCACACUGGGACUGAGACACGGCCCAGACUCCUACGGGAGGCAGCAGUGGGGAAUAUUGCGCAAUGGGCGAAAGCCUGACGCAGCAACGCCGCGUGCGGGAUGACGGCCUUCGGGUUGUAAACCGCUUUCAGCAGGGAAGAAGCCGCAAGGUGACGGUACCUGCAGAAGAAGCACCGGCUAACUACGUGCCAGCAGCCGCGGUAA